GACGAACGCUGGCGGCGUGCUUAACACAUGCAAGUCGAACGGAAAGGCCCUGCUUUUGUGGGGUGCUCGAGUGGCGAACGGGUGAGUAACACGUGAGUAACCUGCCCUUGACUUUGGGAUAACUUCAGGAAACUGGGGCUAAUACCGGAUAGGAGCUCCUGCUGCAUGGUGGGGGUUGGAAAGUUUCGGCGGUUGGGGAUGGACUCGCGGCUUAUCAGCUUGUUGGUGGGGUAGUGGCUUACCAAGGCUGUGACGGGUAGCCGGCCUGAGAGGGUGACCGGCCACAUUGGGACUGAGAUACGGCCCAGACUCCUACGGGAGGCAGCAGUGGGGAAUAUUGCACAAUGGGCGGAAGCCUGAUGCAGCAACGCCGCGUGCGGGAUGACGGCCUUCGGGUUGUAAACCGCUUUCGCCUGUGACGAAGCGUGAGUGACAGUAAUGGGUAAAGAAGCACCGGCUAACUACGUG
rnacentral:rRNA from 1 species